rnacentral:piRNA from 1 species
UACUCAGAAGGGGAAGGAUGAAGCCAGC